rnacentral:lncRNA from 1 species
CCAGCUUCCAAAAGACCCCUUCCCGGCGGCUAGCUAACAACGACUCUUCUUUCCAAACGCCCACCGGCCGUACGUACGUGCUUCAUUAGGUUCUAGCUAACUGUGUGCAUACAUGCAUGCACGCAAUGAUGUGAAGUUGUGAACACACGUAAUAAAAAAGAAAAAAAGUUUUGUGUUGAGGUGGCAGUUACAAAGCAUGGUGCUAAACUGCUGAUUGUAUAUACUCAUUUCGUUUCAUAAUUCUUGUCUCAAAUUUGCCAAAAAUAAAUG